rnacentral:rRNA from 1 species
AACGAACUGCCCUCGGGCAGUGAGUGGCGAACGGGUGAGUAAUACAUAAGCAAUCUGCCCAUGGGACUGGGAUAACGUCUGGAAACGGACGCUAAUACCGGAUAGGCUGGAGUGAGGCAUCUUACUCCAAUUAAAGUUGGGAUACAACACCGAUGGAUGAGCUUAUGGCGUAUUAGCUAGUAGGUGAGGUAACGGCCCACCUAGGCGAUGAUACGUAGCCGACCUGAGAGGGUGACCGGCCACAUUGGGACUGAGACACGGCCCAAACUCC